rnacentral:rRNA from 1 species
GACGAACCGUGCGAACGUUAUUCGGAAUCACUGGGCUUAAAGCGCGUGUAGGCGGGCCGCCACGUCGGCUGCUGAAAUCCCCCGGCUCAACCGGGGAAGUGGCACCGAUACGAGCGGCCUCGAGGGGGGUAGGGGGGUCUGGAACUUCCGGUGGAGCGGUGAAAUGCGUUGAGAUUGGAAAGAACACCAACGGCGAAAGCACUCUGCUGGGCCGACACUGACACUGAGAGACGAAAGCUAGGGGAGCGAACAGG